UGGGGAAUUUUGGACAAUGGGCGAAAGCCUGAUCCAGCAAUGCCGCGUGUGUGAAGAAGGCCUUCGGGUUGUAAAGCACUUUUGUCCGGAAAGAAAUCCUUGGCUCUAAUACAGUCGGGGGAUGACGGUACCGGAAGAAUAAGCACCGGCUAACUACGUGCCAGCAGCCGCGGUAAUACGUAGGGUGCAAGCGUUAAUCGGAAUUACUGGGCGUAAAGCGUGCGCAGGCGGUUUGCUAAGACCGAUGUGAAAUCCCCGGGCUCAACCUGGGAACUGCAUUGGUGACUGGCAGGCUAGAGUAUGGCAGAGGGGGGUAGAAUUCCACGUGUAGCAGUGAAAUGCGUAGAGAUGUGGAGGAAUACCGAUGGCGAAGGCAGCCCCCUGGGCCAAUACUGACGCUCACGCACGAAAGCGUGGGGAGCAAACAGGAUUAGAUACCCUGGUAGUCCACGCCCUAAACGAUGUCAACUAGUUGUUGGGGAUUCAUUUCCUUAGUAACGUAGCUAACGCGUGAAGUUGACCGCCUGGGGAGUACGGUCGCAGGAUUAAAACUCAAAUGAAUUGACGGGGUCAUAGCUG
rnacentral:rRNA from 1 species